UGAAAUUGCUGUGUGACUUUGGUACGCCUCUCCCCGUCUCUGAGCCUCACGUGAAACUUGAGACGGAGACCAAGGGCACUACUGUAGGACAGUAGGAAAGCAUUGUGACAUCAUGAAACCAGGCAGACACACUGGCCUGCAGUUCUCACCAGGGCUCUCAACCGCCCCCCCCCUCCCCCGGCUUUGUCAAUGGAGCCAGCCUGUCUGUGCCGGACAAGGUUCUCAACAGAGCAACUAAAGGAACAAGCCAGUGUGGACACCCUGCUCUUCUGAGUGUCUGCUCCUAGGGGGCUGGGCAGCAACAUAGAGCUCUCAGAAGAGUGUGAGGGAAUCCAUGCUAUGAGGACACUGCCAUCCAGACAAGUGUGAGGCCAGCCUGGGGUACAUGAGACUGUCUUUAAAAGGCUCAAGUUAAGGGCCUUAGAAAACUAGUUGAUCGAGAAGAAAUGUUUGCAGAAAAUAGGCAGAGGGAAAUACAGGAAAACAAGGAAGAAGCAUAAACCAUCGCGAGGGCGUCAGACGCAGAAGAAACUAGACGGACGUCUUAUUUAAAAGAGGCCUCAAGACACUAGAAGAUUCUGCGUCUCUAUCGGGACCUGGCCAGAACGCCACAGGGAGAUGGAGCAAUGGCGGAGAUGCCUGGGCCCUGGAUGAACUCAAGUACUAGCGCCAAACCACCAGGCUGGGAGACUUCCGAAGAGGGAAGUGCAGUCAACGCACGCCAGCAGGUGCCCUGCAGAGAAGCGAGCCCUUGCCUCAGAGCUCCGCACAGCUCACAGACUUUUAGGCUACAUGAAUCAGUGCUGUUUUAGGUCACUAGGUUCUGGGUGCUUUGUUACACAGCAGUGCUGGCAGUGAGGCACACGAGAGGAGAAACUGAUGUGUGCACAGAUGCAAGGAGGUGGUCAACAUGGCAGAGGGUAGCCACAGUGUGACAGCUGCUUGUCACACAGAAGCCAACGCUAACACAACGAUGGCUCUACGGAGCAGAAAGAGCAUGAAUCUCGGGGAGAAGCUUAGCCCAGUAAACCAAGGACAAUGCAGGGAGCUGCAGAGAAAAGCCCUGGAAGAGCCUUGGCCUCCGUGUCCAGCUCUCUUUAUAAGUGAGUGUUGGGACAGAACCUCACACCAGAAUGACUGGGCUAUCUCCUUAGCAC